rnacentral:sRNA from 1 species
UCAGCGCCCAGCAAAUAAGAAGCAAGUCCUGGACCCAGAGGAGGAGGAGCGGCCGAGCAUCUCUGUCUGCUCCGCGGUGUCCUUUAGAUGAGGACUCCCUGCCGGAGCCGGAGGUGGAUCCGCAGAGCUGCCUCUGGGCGCCUGACCCCGCGCUGACAUCACAACCUGUGACAGGCGCAUCACGCCCGGUACCUGCUCCCGGCCGCUGCCCGUCCUCCCAGCCUCUUUGUAUGCCGCAGACAUGGCCAGCCAGCAGGAUUCGGGCUUCUUUGAGAUCAGUAUCAAAUAUUUACUGAAAUCCUGGAGUAAUAUGUCGUGCCUUCUGGAAACCAUCCACCAUUUGCACACUACCCCAGUGCAGAAGAUUUAGCAAGUAACCACUUCCUGAAAACGUGAAUGGCAUUUGUGGAACAAGAUAAUACGCAACUUAACCUCAUUUUUUUUCAUACUAAUGUCUUUCAUUUGAUAGAUGCCAUUCAUCAUAUUCCUUUUAACAUUGCUC